UACGUAGGGCGCGAGCGUUGUCCGGAUUUAUUGGGCGUAAAGAGCUCGUAGGCGGCUUGUUACGUCGUUCGUGAAAACCUUGGGGCUCAACCCCAAGCUUGCGGUCGAUACGGGCAGGCUAGAGUUCGGUAGGGGAGACUGGAAUUCCUGGUGUAGCGGUGAAAUGCGCAGAUAUCAGGAGGAACACCGGUGGCGAAGGCGGGUCUCUGGGCCGAUACUGACGCUGAGGAGCGAAAGCGUGGGGAGCGAACAGG
rnacentral:rRNA from 1 species